UUUCCCGGUUGAUCCUGCCGGACCUUACUGCUAUCGGGAUGAGACUAAGCCAUGCAUGUCGAGCGCUCUCAGCUAUGUAGAGAGCGCGGCGAACGGCUCAAUAACACGUAGUUAACCUACCCUCGGGAUGGGAAUAACCCCGGGAAACUGGGAUUAAUGCCCACUAGAUGAUUAUACCUGGAAUGGCUUAUCAUCGAAAGAGUCUGGAAACAUGCUUCCAGCGUCGCCCGAGGAUGGGACCGCGUCCGAUCAGGUAGUUGGUGGGGUAAUGGCCUACCAAGCCUAUAACCGGUACGGGCCCUGAGAGGGGGAGCCCGGAGAUGGAAACUGAGAAAAGGUUCCAGGCCCUACGGGGUGCAGCAGGCGCGAAACCUCCACAAUGCGCGAAAGCGUGAUGGGGUUAUCCCGAGUGCCGUCCGAUGAGGAUGGCUUUUAAUCGAUGUAAGGAUUCGAUAGAAUAAAGGGGGGGCAAGACUGGUGUCAGCCGCCGCGGUAAUACCAGCCCCCUGAGUGGUAAGGACGAUUAUUUGGCCUAAAGCGUUCGUAGCCGGCUUAUCAAGUCUUUUGUUAAAUCCAACGAUUCAAUCGUUGGGCCGCAAAAGAUACUGUUAUGCUAGAGGACGGGAGAGGUCGACGGUAGUCCAGGGGUAGGGGUGAAAUCCUAUAAUCCUUGGAGGACCACCAGUGGCGAAGGCGGUCGACUAGAACGUGCCUGACGGUGAGGGACGAAAGCUGGGGGAGCGAACCGGAUUAGAUACCCGGGUAGUCCCAGCUGUAAACGAUGCGGGCUAGGUGUUGGGGCAGCCACGAGCUGCUCCAGUGCCGCAGAGAAGUUGUUAAGCCCGCCGCCUGGGGAGUACGGCCGCAAGGCUGAAACUUAAAGGAAUUGGCGGGGGAGCACCACAAGGGGUGAAGGCUGCGGUUUAAUUGGAGUCAACGCCGGG
rnacentral:rRNA from 1 species